rnacentral:rRNA from 1 species
GAUGAACGCUGGCGGCGUGCCUAACACAUGCAAGUCGAGCGAACAGACGAGGAUCUUUCUCGUCUGACGUUAGCGGCGGACGGGUGAGUCACACGUGGAUAACCUACCUCUAAGACUGGGGUACCUUCGGGAAAUCUGAGCUAAUACCGGAUAAUAUAUUGAACCUCAUGGUUCAAUCGUCAGAGACGCUUUUGCUGUCACUUAUAGCUGGAUCCGCGCCGCAUUAGCUAGUUGGUAAGGUAACGGCUUACCAAGGCGACGAUGCGUAGCCGACCUGAGAGGGUGAUCGGCCACACUGGAAGUGAGACACGGCCCAGACUCCUACGGGAGGCAGCAGUAGGGAAUCUUACGCAAUGGGCGAAAGCCUGAUGGAGCAACGCCGCGUGAGGGAUGAAGGUCUUAGGAUCGUAAAACGCUGUUAUUAGGGAAGAACAAAUGUGUUAUUAACUAUGCACGUCUUGACGGUACCUAAAGAAAAAGCCACGGCUAACUACGUG